rnacentral:rRNA from 1 species
UACGAAGGGGGCUAGCGUUGUUCGGAAUUACUGGGCGUAAAGAGCGCGUAGGCGGAUCGCCAAGUUGGGGGUGAAAGCCCGGAGCUCAACCCCGGAACUGCCUUCAAAACUGGUAGGCUCGAGUCCGGAAGAGGGGAGUGGAAUUCCCAGUGUAGAGGUGAAAUUCGUAGAUAUUGGGAAGAACACCGGUGGCGAAGGCGGCGCCCUGGUCCGGUACUGACGCUGAGGAGCGAAAGCGUGGGGAGCAAACAGG